rnacentral:rRNA from 1 species
AUACGGAGGAUCCGAGCGUUAUCCGGAUUUAUUGGGUUUAAAGGGUGCGCAGGCGGGAGAUUAAGUCGGCGGUGAAAUUUUGCAGCUCAACUGUAAAAGUGCCUUCGAAACUGGUUUCCUUGAGUGUAGAUGAAGUAGGCGGAAUUUGUGGUGUAGCGGUGAAAUGCAUAGAUAUCACGAGGAACUCCGAUUGCGCAGGCAGCUUACUAAACUACUACUGACGCUCAGGCACGAAGGCGUGGGGAUCAAACAGGAUUAGAUACCCUGGUAGUCCACGCAGUAAAGGAUGAUUACUAGCUGUUUGCGAUACAAUGUAAGCGGCUGAGCGAAAGCGUUAAGUAAUCCACCUGGGGAGUACGUUCGCAAGAAUGAAACUCAAAUGAAUUGACGGGG